rnacentral:rRNA from 1 species
UAUGAAGGGGGCUAGCGUUGUUCGGAUUUACUGGGCGUAAAGCGCACGUAGGCGGAUCUUUAAGUCAGAGGUGAAAUCCCAAGGCUCAACCUUGGAACUGCCUUUGAUACUGGGGAUCUUGAGUCCGGGAGAGGUGAGUGGAACUGCGAGUGUAGAGGUGAAAUUCGUAGAUAUUCGCAAGAACACCAGUGGCGAAGGCGGCUCACUGGCCCGGUACUGACGCUGAGGUGCGAAAGCGUGGGGAGCAAACAGG